rnacentral:rRNA from 1 species
GACAGAGGAGCCAAGCGUUGUCCGGAUUGACUGGGCGUAAAGCGCACGCAGGCGGAACGGCGCGUGGGGUGUGAAAGCUGGUGGCUUAACUGCCAGUCGCCAUCCCAUACGGCCGCUCUGGAGCCUUGCAGAGGGCAGUGGAAUUGCCGGUGUAGUGGUGAAAUGCGUAGAGAUCCGGAGGAACACCAAAGGCGCAGGCAGGGUCCUGGCAAGCCACUGACGCUCAUGGACGAAAGCUAGGGGAGCGAACGGG